GAGGUUCAGAGGAGCAGCGUGACCCGCGGGGGAUAACCUGGGAGAAAGAGGACGAGAGAAUCUGUGGAGAAAAGAACUAGCCCGCCGUCUCUUUUGACCUUUGAAGUCUCUACAGUAGAGCUUACAUCCCAGACCCUCCUGGUACAGGCCCUCGGUUCACCUUACUGGGUUGUUAGUAGAAACAAAGGCAACAUUUCCAGUAGAUGAUCUGGCACAAGCAGGUGCACCGCUCACCACCACAAACCUCCUAGGGUCAGACCUGGCUUCUCCAAGGGAGGUGGGUCCUGGGAAGGGAGGUUUUCGCUUGUUUCGAGAGAGGCAGAAAACCAGUCCGGGUGAGGCUAGAAAGCCAGAGGUCCUGAUGGACAGCACAGCUGAGCGUGACCUGAGGGACACAGAAAAUGCCCGCUAUCCACGCAGUGGACAGGAUUUUUGGUCUCAACUCCAAAAAUUCGGUCACCUAUUGAAGUCAUCUAUUUGGCAAGUCAGCCUGCGCCAGUGCUUGUGCGCCUAGAUCUUGGAGGGACAAGUGUAGACCAGAGAGAUCUGACAAAGGACGCUCGGAGACUGACCGAAGCCGGGAACCCAAGGGCGCGUCCCAGAAACAGCUAGGCCUGGGACGCAGACUUAAACAGACUGACGGGGGUGGGGGUGGGGGGAGCCAUCGUAUACACAGGAGGGUCGCCUAAACACUGAGUGGAAAAUGAAGUAUGGCUUCUUUGAGCCUGAGGGGCUGUUCAGGUGGGUGGAACACAAGAAAAAAAAA
rnacentral:lncRNA from 1 species